CAUAGUACAAAAUGUCAUUGUCUGGCCUGUCUUCAACGACCGCUCUUGGCUACGGUUUCAAUUGGUUGCACCCUUGCAGCCACAUCUCCCCUAGUCGUUGGAGUUCACCGUCAUUUGGGGUCUCAUUGGAAUUUCAAAAGCUUGUCGACAACGACAACCAUCUCUCGUCGUUCUUUAGCAAGCCAAUUUGGCGUUUGAAUAUUAAAGGAGUUUGAGCCGCUGUCUAACCAUUUGGGAGGUUGAAAUUAGACAUUUUGACACAACUUUGAUAAGAUGCUAAGCUUUAUGGAGUCGAUCUUUAGUACCCAUCUAAUCUUAGUGAUAUCGUUGAGUAACUCAUGAUGAUGGAUGCUUGAUUUCAAACUUAGAAGGUAAUUAUGAUGUUGUCCAUUGAAAUUAAGAGUACUUUAUUGAUAACUUUUUGUGUAAUUUUGUUGAGUUUUCUAAAGCUCUUGAAUAUCUAUUAAGUUUAAAAGUUAAAAUUGAAUUA